GUGAAAUUGUUGAAAGGGAAGCGCUGUCCAUCAGACUUGUUGAUCAGGAUCACCCACCGUUCUCGGUGGGGCACUCUUGGUUGGACAGGCCCGCAUCGGUUGGAGCGGUCGGAGAAAGGCCAUGGGAAUGUAGCUCUUCGCGAGUGUUAUAGCCCGUGGCGGAAUACGGCCAGCUUCGACCGAGGUCUGCGCUUCGGCUCGGAUGCGGGCGUAAUGGUGGUCAGCGGCCCGUCUUGAAACACGGACCAAGGAGUC
rnacentral:rRNA from 1 species